rnacentral:rRNA from 1 species
AUUGAACGCUGGCGGCAUGCCUUACACAUGCAAGUCGAGCGAAUGGAUUAAGAGCUUGCUCUUAUGAAGUUAGCGGCGGACGGGUGAGUAACACGUGGGUAACCUGCCCAUAAGACUGGGAUAACUCCGGGAAACCGGGGCUAAUACCGGAUGCCCUCGCCGGACCGCAUGAUCCGGCGAGGAAAGCUCCGGCGCUUCGGGAUGGGCUCGCGGCCUAUCAGCUUGUUGGUGGGGUCAAGGCCCACCAAGGCGACGACGGGUAGCUGGUCUGAGAGGAUGUCCAGCCACACUGGGACUGAGACACGGCCCAGACUCCUACGGGAGGCAGCAGUGGGGAAUCUUGCGCAAUGGGCGAAAGCCUGACGCAGCGACGCCGCGUGCGGGAUGAAGGCCUUCGGGUUGUAAACCGCUUUCAGCAGGGACGAAAUUGACGGUACCUGCAGAAGAAGCCCCGGCCAACUACGUGCCAGCCGCCGCAGUAA